rnacentral:lncRNA from 1 species
CAUUAUUGUAUUAUUUGCUGCAUGAGAAACAUUAGAACAAAUAAUUUUGAUCAGAUACGAUACAAAACGAUGCUAUUACAGCUAUAGGCGAAUACUCCAUCAAUUCUAAUGAUGAUAUAUAUACACUUCAAACAGAGUGCACCACGCGCUUUUACGCAUCACUGCGCAUGUCUGUUGUUGGAAGAGCGCGUAAUGUCAAAACAGGUCAGAUCAUCACAUCAGUUCCCUUGGCAUCAUUAUGUCAUCAGCAUCUCCGGACACUUAAAGGCUGUAAAUGCUGGACAGAUUUCAGCUCUCGGCAACUUUAUCCAGCACAGCUAAAACAUCCUGAUUUUACGUUCUCACAAGCCAGAGAUGAGCCAAAUGAAGCUGCCUCAAGCUGGACUUCUCCUCUGGGUGUGUGUAAUGAACAGGGUCCUGGACACUGAAACUCUUAGACUUUUUCUAUCUACAUGUCACGACCGUCUCCACAGCAGCAGCACUGUCAAUCACCCAGUGUAUGAUCAUGCAGUACACCAACAUCACCUGUUACUGGGAAACAACCGACCACCACAUCAGCAGCUACAGGCUUCAGAUUAACAAAACCUCUUGUGAAAGUAAACACAGCUUCAUCCCGGUGGGUUUCUGUAAUACCAGAGGCUCUGACUGCUCCGUUCAGCCCAUCGAUUCAGCGUUACACUGUUUCUGUGCGGAUGUGCUGGCUUCCACACGCACUGGAUCCAUACGCUCACCGCCGUACUUCUUCAGUGGGGUCAAUGCAGUGAAACUUCGUCCUCCACAGAUAACAAAUCUCAGGCCAUCAGAGAGAAGGUCCGGGUGUUUGCAGGUGAUCUGGAGAAUGGUUGAGAGCUUUCCCAAGAAUGAAAAAGUCUACAUACUGCUCCAAAUGGAGUACACGACACACAACCAGGU